CCAUGAAAGCGAAUCUGCCCCAGCACGAUCUCAGCGCCGCACGCAUGGCCUCGGGCAUGACGUCGCGCGCGCGUCGACCGGAAUCCCACAUCCUUGCUGGGUAACCGGAACGCUGUGCCGUUCG
rfam:Xanthomonas translucens pv. undulosa strain Xtu 4699, complete genome.